UAUAUACUCCUUCCGUUCGGAAUUACUUGUCUUGAAUAUAGAUGUAUCUAAAACUAAAAUACAUCUAGAUACAUCUAUUUCUGCGACAAGUAAUUCCGAACGGAGGGAGUACUAC
rfam:Triticum aestivum genome assembly, contig: Triticum_aestivum_CS42_TGACv1_scaffold_193598_3AL